GUGCCAGCAGCCGCGGUAAUACCGGCAGCCCAAGUGAUGGCCGCUGUUAUUGGGCCUAAAGCGUCCGUAGCUGGCCGCACAAGUCCGUCGGGAAAUCCGCCCGCUCAACGGGCGGCCGUCCGGCGGAACCUGUGUGGCUUGGGACCGGAAGGCUCGAAGGGUACGUUCGGGGUAGGAGUGAAAUCCCAUAAUCCCGCACGGACCACCGAUGGCGAAAGCACUCUGAGAAGACGGCUUCGACAGUGAGGGACGAAAGCUCGGGUCUCAAACCGGAUUAGAAACCCGAGUAGUCC
rnacentral:rRNA from 1 species